UGCAACUGUAGCCCUAACCACAUUUCUUUUCAUACGCUGCUCUGCCCAGCAGUAGUUUUUGAUCAUUCUAAGUCAUUUGCUGAAUCUGAAGGAAAGCAUGAGGCUGCUCACCACCUUUCUCCUUGUGGGCCUUCUAGCACUUUGGAUGGGAUCCCUCUCCACAACUGGGAGCGACCUUCCAAUAGAUGGUCCAGUUAAACAGAAGCCAGGGGUUUGUCCAAUCGAUCGCUGCAGAUGCACUGGUCCUCAGCCUGAUGAGUGCUGGAGAGAUUAUGGUUGUAAAAAAAAGAAGAAAUGUUGUUACUCUUGUUGUGCAAUGCGCUGUGUGGACCCAAAAUAAGAAGCUCCAGGAUUCAGGCUUCUCCAUUGAUGAAAGUGGUUUGGCAACUCCAUGUAAAACUUUUUUGCAACAUCCUUCUGAUCCCUUCAUCAGCCUCAGAAGUGUUUCUUGAUCAAGAGAUGAAAACAGCAAGAUAUUACUACACUGUUUUACUCCUGGUUAUUUCGAGAAAUUUUCUUUCUUCAUUUCUUUUUUCUUUCCUUCCUUUUGGUGGGUACAGCUUAUUAUAAUGAUAAUGAAAUAUUAUGAAAAAUAAGGAAAGAUUAUUCAUCUUAAUGGAAAUUGUUAUUUCUGUAUCAUAAAUAAAG